GUUCUCGCUUCGGCGUUACAAAUAUUGAAGUUGGAAAGAUACAGAUAAGAUUAGCAUGGUUCCUGAGCAAAAUGACACACAAAGUCAUGAAGAGUUAAAAUUUUUA